AAAAAAUAUGCUUGGAUAAAAAUUAGUUUCAAGUUUAAUGAUAAUAACUUCGGUUUUAGGUUCAAUAUUCUUGGUUUCAUAUUAUUUGUUCUAAAUUUAAUGUACUCAUUAACCAAUUUCAAGUUAUCGCCUAAUAAUUUUAGGUUUAAUAGUAAAAACUACAAGUUGGCAAAGGUUCCAUAUUUAAUAAUGUUGAUUUAUUGAGCUCACUUAUGACAAAUGGGUGACAAGUGAGCUGCCAUUUUACAAGAAGUUCUCUAGGUCAUUUCCUUCACUGUUUACGUGGCCAUUUUUACCCACAUUAAGAAGCCAUAAAUCAAGUUCCAUAAAACCUCCUUGACUUCAUUUUCCGCAAGAAUGGAGCCGAACCUUCUGUGCAAUGGGACAGCGGCGGAAUCAAAAUUUUAGUUCGAUAGUGGUUAUAAUAAAGAAAUUAUAAGUUUUUUCAAACGAUAAUAUCAAAUUAAAAUUGAAGAGCCAGCAAUAGGUCUAUAAUAAAUAAAUCGUAUCAGGCUAUACUAAAACUGUGCAAAAAAUGAGGAGGCCAAUGUAAAAUUCACAACGUGUGUCAGGUCGUGCAAUUCAAAGGGCUCAUGUUUUGGCAAGUUAGAAUUAAGGAUUUGUAAUUUGGUGGUAUCCAUGGUUGGAGUAAUUCUACAAUUCAUCAGAUGUAAUAUAACUAAUUAAUGCAUGUAUGAUAUGUAUAUUUGAAUUUUAUAUAAUCACCAAUUGCAUGUUGUUUAUUCAAAGUAAAUAUACAUAUGUCAUAAUAUUAUUUGCUAAUUCUACGACUGACAUAGUAUAUCAGAGAUAUUCUAUAAUUUCUUGCACGGUGGAGGAUGUUCCAACUUACAACUGUUGUCAUAAGGGUAUGUUGGGAACAAAGCAUUGCAUAAUAUUAUAAUAUUGUUCACAUUACUUUAUUACUAACCUAUGUUUGGUAAUUUUAAAAGCUGCAAAUAUGACAAUUUUAGA
rnacentral:lncRNA from 1 species